AUGCUCGCCUGGCAGGGGUAAUACCAUGAGCAUGAAGGUGGUUUUCCCAGGAAGAGGCUCAUCCAUUGUCCUGGGGGUGGGCACCUCACCUGCGGGGGGGGCUGCGUGCGCGCUCCCCCG
rnacentral:snRNA from 1 species